rnacentral:rRNA from 1 species
AGAAGCGACCUCGCGAGAGCAAGCGGACCUCAUAAAGUGCGUCGUAGUCCGGAUUGGAGUCUGCAACUCGACUCCAUGAAGUCGGAAUCGCUAGUAAUCGUAGAUCAGAAUGCUACGGUGAAUACGUUCCCGGGCCUUGUACACACCGCCCGUCACACCAUGGGAGUGGGUUGCAAAAGAAGUAGGUAGCUUAACCUUCGGGAGGGCGCUUACCACUUUGUGAUUCAUGACUGGGGUGAAGUCGUAACAAGGUAACCGUAGGGGAACCUGCGGUUGGAUCACCUCCUUA